rnacentral:rRNA from 1 species
UGGUGGGUAGUUUGACUGGGGCGGUCUCCUCCUAAAGAGUAACGGAGGAGCACGAAGGUUGGCUAAUCCUGGUCGGACAUCAGGAGGUUAGUGCAAUGGCAUAAGCCAGCUUGACUGCGAGCGUGACGGCGCGAGCAGGUGCGAAAGCAGGUCAUAGUGAUCCGGUGGUUCUGAAUGGAAGGGCCAUCGCUCAACGGAUAAAAGGUACUCCGGGGAUAACAGGCUGAUACCGCCCAAGAGUUCAUAUCGACGGCGGUGUUUGGCACCUCGAUGUCGGCUCAUCACAUCCUGGGGCUGAAGUAGGUCCCAAGGGUAUGGCUGUUCGCCAUUUAAAGUGGUACGCGAGCUGGGUUUAGAACGUCGUGAGACAGUUCGGUCCCUAUCUGCCGUGGGCGCUGGAGAACUGAGGGGGGCUGCUCCUAGUACGAGAGGACCGGAGUGGACGCAUCACUGGUGUUCGGGUUGUCAUGCCAAUGGCACUGCCCGGUAGCUAAAUGCGGAAGAGAUAAGUGCUGAAAGCAUCUAAGCACGAAACUUGCCCCGAGAUGAGUUCUCCCUGAGACUUAGAGUCUCCUGAAGGAACGUUGAAGACGACGACGUUGAUAGGCCGGGUGUGUAAGCGCAGCGAUGCGUUGAGCUAACCGGUACUAAUGAA